rnacentral:rRNA from 1 species
GACGAACGCUGGCGGCGUGCCUAAUACAUGCAAGUCGAGCGAAGUUUUUCUGCUGCUUGCACCUGAAAGACUUAGCGGCGAACGGGUGAGUAACACGUAACGAACCUGCCUUAUAGACUUGAACUCCUAUUGGAAACGAUAGCUCAUACCGGAUAACACCAUUAACUGCUUGGUUGAUGUUUGAUAGUUGGUUUUGCUAUCACUAUGCGAUUUCUUUGCUGUGAAUUAGGUAGAUUGUGGGGUAAGGGCCUACCAAGGCGACGAUGCAUAGGCGACCUCAGAGGGGGAUCGGCCACACUGGAACUGGGACGCGGCCCAGGCUCCUGCGGGAGGCAGCAGUAGGGAAUGUUCCGCAGUAGGCGGAAGCCUGACGGAGCAACGCCGCGUGAGUGAAGAAGGAGUUCGGUUCGUAAAGCUCUGUUGUUAGGGAAGAAUGAUUGUGUAGUAACUAUACGCAGUAGAGACGGUACCUAACCAGAAAGCAACGGCUAACUACGUG